UGCGUAGGCGGGUUUCUAAGUCGGAGGUGAAAGCCUGGAGCUCAACUCCAGAACUGCCUUUGAUACUGGAAGUCUUGAGUAUGGCAGAGGUGAGUGGAACUGCGAGUGUAGAGGUGAAAUUCGUAGAUAUUCGCAAGAACACCAGUGGCGAAGGCGGCUCACUGGGCCAUUACUGACGCUGAGGCACGAAAGCUGGGGAGCAAACA
rnacentral:rRNA from 1 species